GACGUAGGGCGCGAGCGUUGUCCGGAUUUAUUGGGCGUAAAGCGCACGUAGGCGGAUUGUUAAGUCAGGGGUGAAAUCCUGGAGCUCAACUCCAGAACUGCCUUUGAUACUGGCGAUCUUGAGUCCGGGAGAGGUGAGUGGAACUGCGAGUGUAGAGGUGAAAUUCGUAGAUAUUCGCAAGAACACCAGUGGCGAAGGCGGCUCACUGGCCCGGUACUGACGCUGAGGUGCGAAAGCGUGGGGAGCAAACAGG
rnacentral:rRNA from 1 species